CAGGCUUAACACAUGCAAGUCGAGGGGCAGCGGGGUAGUGCUUGCACUACUGCCGGCGACCGGCGCACGGGUGAGUAACACGUAUGGAACCUGCCCGCAGCAGGGGGAUAAGCGGAAGAAAUUCCGUCUAAUACCGCGUAAGAACGUUGGGAGGCAUCUCCCGAUGUUUAAAGAUUUAUCGGCUGCGGAUGGCCAUGCGGCGCAUUAGCUAGUCGGCGGGGUAACGGCCCACCGAGGCGACGAUGCGUAGGGGUUCUGAGAGGAAGGUCCCCCACACUGGUACUGAGACACGGACCAGACUCCUACGGGAGGCAGCAGUGAGGAAUAUUGGUCAAUGGCCGAGAGGCUGAACCAGCCAAGUCGCGUGAGGGAAGACGGCCCUACGGGUUGUAAACCUCUUUUGUCGGGGAGCAAAGCGAACCACGUGUGGUUCAUUGAGAGUACCCGAAGAAAAAGCAUCGGCUAACUCCGUGCCAGCAGCCGCGGUAAUACGGAGGAUGCGAGCGUUAUCCGGAUUUAUUGGGUUUAAAGGGUGCGCAGGCGGAGGUGCAAGUCAGCGGUCAAAUUGCGGGGCUCAACCCCGUACUGCCGUUGAAACUGCAUCCCUUGAGUGCGCGAGAAGUAUGCGGAAUGCGUGGUGUAGCGGUGAAAUGCAUAGGUAUCACGCAGAACUCCGAUUGCGAAGGCAGCAUACCGGCGCGCAACUGUCGCUCAUGCACGAAAGCGUGGGUAUCGAACAGGAUUAGAUACCCUGGUAGUCCACGCAGUAAACGAUGAACACUAACUGUUCGGCCAGAAUGAUGGCUGAGUGGUACAGCGAAAGCGUUAUGUGUUCCACCUGGGGAGUACGCCGGCAACGGUGAAACUCAAAGGAAUUGACGGGGGCCCGCACAAGCGGAGGAACAUGUGGUUUAAUUCGAUGAUACGCGAGGAACCUUACCCGGGCUCAAACGACACAGGAAUACUUUUGAAAGGAGGUAGCCCUACGGGGUCUGUGUCGAGGUGCUGCAUGGUUGUCGUCAGCUCGUGCCGUGAGGUGUCGGCUUAAGUGCCAUAACGAGCGCAACCCCUAUCGCCAGUUACCAUCAAGUAAAGUUGGGGACUCUGGCGAGACUGCCGGCGCAAGCUGAGAGGAAGGCGGGGAUGACGUCAAAUCAGCACGGCCCUUACGUCCGGGGCGACACACGUGUUACAAUGGCAGGUACAGAGAGAAGCCAGGUGGUGACACCGAGCGGAACUCGAAAGCCUGUCUCAGUUCGGAUCGGAGUCUGCAACCCGACUCCGUGAAGCUGGAUUCGCUAGUAAUCGCGCAUCAGCCAUGGCGCGGUGAAUACGUUCCCGGGCCU
rnacentral:rRNA from 1 species